rnacentral:rRNA from 1 species
GACGAACGCUGGCGGCGUGCCUAAUACAUGCAAGUUGAGCGCUGAAGAUUGGUACUUGUACCGACUGGAUGAGCAGCGAACGGGUUAGUAACGCGUGGGGAAUCUGCCUUUGAGCGGGGGACAACAUUUGGAAACGAAUGCUAAUACCGCAUAAAAACUUUAAACACAAGUUUUAAGUUUGAAAGAUGCAAUUGCAUCACUCAAAGAUGAUCCCGCGUUGUAUUAGCUAGUUGGUGAGGUAAAGGCUCACCAAGGCGAUGAUACAUAGCCGACCUGAGAGGGUGAUCGGCCCCAUUGGGACUGAGACACGGCCCAAACUCCUACGGGAGGCAGCAGUAGGGAAUCUUCGGCAAUGGACGAAAGUCUGACCGAGCAACGCCGCGUGAGUGAAGAAGGUUUUCGGAUCGUAAAACUCUGUUGGUAGAGAAGAACGUUGGUGAGAGUGGAAAGCUCAUCAAGUGACGGUAACUACCCAGAAAGGGACGGCUAACUACGUG